CAACACGGGGGGAGGGAAGCGCACCAACUUCAGAACCGGGCGAGAAAGCCCACGCCGGCCGGCCCCCCGCCCGCCAAACCCCGCCGGACUCUCACCUGCCCGGGACUCAAACUUCUCCUGGCACAGCUUUUCCUGCUUCUUGUGUGUCUCUGGCUCCCGGCUGCCCCUUUUAUGUGGUGCUGCUGCCUGUUUCCCAGACUGCAGCAGCCCGAGAACUGGGGCGCGGAGGGUUAACGAAGAACCCGGCGAGCAUCAGAUCUGGAAACUCAGUGCCUUCCAGGGCCCCCAUCCCCUCCUUCCCUCCCUCAGUUUUCAUCAUCAGCUUCAUCCCCAUUUCCAACCUUGGCCUCCAACUGCACGUGGGCACCAACAUCAUGCCCAGAGACCCAUCUAGUCCUCGUGUCCACCUCUCGGGAACUUAUGGCCUAGGCGAGGGCACAUGGAAAGCAGACCCGAAGCGUUGAACCCUAUCGUGAGAACUCCAUGAAAGCUCCUGUCCUGAGGCCCAUUUGUUCUGCACUAGAACUGAAUAUGGUCCAGGCCUCUGAGGAGGAUGAAGCAUUCAGGUCCUGCUCCCUCUGCCCCUUCCAGCUGAAGAUACUCCUUUCUAACUAAUGUCGGAAGCUCAGCAAGCAACAGGCAGAGGGGGAUGCUGAAAUGCCUAGAGACUAAAGGAGUUAACCUGGGAAGGCUUCCUGGAAGAGGUGAUGGAGAGAAACCAUGGCAACUAAGGACUGGUCACACACUAUUGCUACCUGGGUGAGCAGAGGACCUCCAGCCCCUGGCAAAUCUGGAGGUCACACAGCUGGCAGACAUCUGUGCCCUGGGGCAUGUUCCAUUUCUCCUCACUUUGCCAACCUCAGCCUGCUGCUGCUGCUACUGCUGGUGGUUGUGGUAGUGGGUAAACCCAGCCCAGGUGGUGAAGACUUACCCCAGUGUGAGAUUCCUCUGCCAUAGAGGAUAUGGCUAGCAGAAAUAAUUGCAGCUCCCUGACUAUCCUCAGCGUUAGGGAUGGCACCUGCUGGUCUCUUCCAUUUUUGACAUUCCAUUAUUCAAUGAAAACCAGGCUGUGGACCCAAGGGAAAUGUGUUAUCUUCCUCACCUCCCUCCUACUCUCUACACCUUGGACUAUGGCACGUCUCAGCAGGGGAGCUGGUAUUUAGAGACUGUCAGAGUGACCCUGACAUAACAGGUGCUUAAUAAGUAUUUAGUUGAAUGAAUACAUGAAUGCAUAUCUGAGUGGUGUUAGGGGGAGUUAUGGGCAGAAGUGGGCUUAGUGGCUGAUUAUUUAUUAUUGGAACUUCUUAGAUUCUAAGUUCCUUAAUUAGAUCCCCUACCAACACCCCCUUCUCUCAUCACCUCUGCACCCUCCUCCCAGGAUAUGAGGAAGUUAAUUGCUGCUCAUCUCAGCAAUUAACCCUUUCCACCCACUCUGUUCCCAGCUUUUCAAUGUUGCUUCCAUUAAUGCCCAGGAUGUGAGAGCCAUGGGGAAGUGGGAAGGGAUUAAUGGUGUCAGACUCAUAGGAUGUUAGAUUUGGAGGGGACCUAGACAUCACCUAGUACAACCUUUUCAUUUCCCAGAUGGGAAACUGAGGCCUGGAAAGAGAAAGUGACUUGCUUUAGGUCAUACAACAAUUUAUUAGAGGUCAGGAAAACAGAGACUGUAGAGGGAGGGACGCCAGGGAGCUGGGGGAGAGAAGUAAAGAUGCUAAGGAGACUUCAAGAAGGGCCAGAAAGGGAUGGUGGAAGAGGGUGGGGGUGGAGCAUAGUGUUGGGGGGAGACCUGUCACAUCAUAUCAGUAUCCCUAGCCAGGCCACGGUCCCAGUUUGCUUCGCCUGGGAGUCUCCCUCAGGGCCUGGACACAGCAUUUCUCUCUACGCUUCUGGGGAAGAGCUCAGAGAACAUAUAUCAGAGAUGCAACCUAUACUCACAUGGAAAGGUACACAGACCAGUGCUAGGUACACACUUAAAUCACAGAUAGUGGAAAGACAAUGACGGGCCUGUACUGUAUGUGUGGGUAAGCACACGGCCCCUCUGCUUCACAGCCAGAGGCAAACACACGUAAACUCUGUUUUUAAUUUGCCACUCAGGCCUUUUCAUCUGUAGCAAAGUCUUUUUCCUCUGGCCACCUCCCUCACCUCCAACUCAGUGUGGGCUCACUGACUAGUUUCAGCCCUAAACAACACACUGAGGGAAAAUCUGCCACCAGAAAAUCAUUCAGCGUCAUCUCAAAGCCAAAGAGAAAUAGUUUGGGGCUUACACACUUUUAGGUUUGCAUUACUAUACCAGUGUUCCCAUCUCACAACCCAGUGCAGAGCCAAAACCAGGGCAGAGCAACCAGGACUCUUCCCGAGGGUGCCAGUAUCUGGGUUGGGGAGUUGCUUCCAGAGAAAUCUAGUCUGCAUAUCUCAUUGUCCCCUGACGGUCUGCGCCAUCUCACCAAUACCCUGGAUCGUCAUCCCCGGGAUCCCAGGCCCAGGCCUUCCCGUUGCCUCCAUGGAGCCAUGAGCGGGACUCUUUGGAGAACAUGUUGCCUACUUUCCUGGGGAAAUAAUAUUCAAGUUCAGACUGUACUCUGUACAACUACCACCUCUCGCUACUAUUUUUUGGCUAUAAGUAGAAGUCCUCGUUAUACUCUAACUUGGAGGAUUAAGAAUGGAGAUUUGCUUGUGUGAAUAGAAACAGUAACGUGCCCUCCUCUCAUUAUAUGACAGUGCAAUAGGAGAGUAUGAGAUCUGGAGUCAGGGGACUUGGGUUCAAAUCCUGCGUUGGACACUUAUCU